AUGAGAGGAGGAGGCAGCGGCCGCCUCGCCCCGUGGCUGCCCUUGCUCCUGCUCGCCACGUGCUGGGGCGGAGGCGCCGACGGGCACGGCGUGCACCCGCUGUCGCGGAUCGCCAUCCACCGCGCCCGCGUCGCCCUGGACGCGUCCGCCGCCGUGCGCGCGUCGCCCAACCUCCUCGGCUCGCGGGCCGAAGAUACGGCUUGGGUGACCGUAGAAUUCAAAAUACCACGUGCAAGCGACGGCGACUGGAUCGGGGUAUUCUCCCCUUCCAAUUUCAAUGCGUCCACAUGCCCUGCUUCCCAUGGGUCAGGCCCUGGCCCUGCGAUAUGCUCCGCGCCAAUAAAGUAUCAGUUUGCAAACUACUCGUCAGGUUAUAACAGGUCAGGGACAGGGGCUCUCAAGUUCCAGCUGAUCAACCAGCGCCAGGAUUUCUCCUUCGGAUUCUUCACCGGUGGACUCUCAAAUCCAACGCUCGUGGCGGUGUCGAACAGGAUCGUCUUCGCGAACCCGAAAGCGCCGGUUUACCCACGCCUAGCGGUCGGGAAAACAUGGAACGAGAUGACUGUCACAUGGACAAGCGGCUAUGGCAUCAGUGAGGCGCACCCCUUCGUUGAAUGGGGCAAGAAAGGGAGCCGUCCUGGGCACGCACCAGCUGACACUGUCACCUUCGGUCGUGAAAGCCUCUGUGGAGAGCCUGCUCGUAGUGUUGGUUGGAGGGAUCCAGGCUCCAUACACACAGCUUUCCUCAAGAAUCUGUCACCAGAGAAAGAAUACUACUACAAAAUCGGACACAUGCUCCAUGAUGGAAAGGUUAUAUGGGGCAAGCCAAAAUCUUUCAGAGCACCUCCUUAUCCCGGGCAGAAGUCGCUGCAGAGGGUUGUUAUUUUUGGCGACAUGGGAAAGGACGAGAGGGACGGAAGCAACGAGUACCAGAAUUACCAGCCUGCGUCACUCAACACCACCGACGCGCUGAUCAGGGACCUCGACAACACCGACAUCGUCUUCCACAUCGGCGACAUCUCCUACGCUAACGGGUAUCUCUCACAGUGGGAUCAGUUCACGCAGCAGGUCGAACCGAUCACCUCCAAGGUGCCCUACAUGAUCGCAAGCGGGAACCACGAGCGAGAUUUCCCCAACAGUGGGUCGCUGUACAACGGCACGGACUCCGGCGGCGAGUGCGGGGUGCCGGCCGAGACCAUGUACUACGCGCCGACGGAGAAGAGGGACAACUACUGGUACUCCAUGGACUACGGGAUGUUCCGGUUCUGCGUGGCGGACAGCGAGCACGACUGGCGGGAGGGCACGGAGCAGUACAGGUUCCUGGACCGCUGCCUGGGCAGCGUGGACCGGGCGAAGCAGCCGUGGGUGGUCUUCAUCGCGCACCGCGUCCUCGGCUACUCCUCGGGCUUCUUCUACGGCUACGACGGGAUGUUCGCGGAGCCCAUGGCGCGGCAGAGCCUGGAAGGGCUGUGGCGGCGCCACCGGGUGGACGUCGCCUUCUACGGCCACGUCCACCAGUACGAGCGGACGUGCCCCGUCUACGAGGAGAGGUGCGUGCCGGACGGGCACGGCACCGUCCACGUCGUCGUCGGGGGCGGCGGCAGCCACCUGAGCAACUUCACCGCCGUGGCCCCGCCGUGGAGCGUGUACCGGGAGAUGGACUACGGGUUCGGCAAGCUCACGGCGUCCGACGCCAGGUCGCUCCAGUUCGAGUACCGGCGGUCCAGCGACGGCAAGGUGUACGACAGCUUCACCCUGCACAGGGGCUGA
rnacentral:rRNA from 1 species